rnacentral:RNase_P_RNA from 1 species
GGAGUCGGCUAGACGGUCGCUCGUCCGCUUCGGCGGGCGGGAGGAAAGUCCGGGCUCCACAGGACACGGUGGUGGGUAACGCCCACCGUCCGCGAGGACAGGGAAAGUGCCACAGAAAACAAACCGCCCCAACGUUUCGGCGGAAGGGUAAGGGUGAAAAGGUGCGGUAAGAGCGCACCGCGGUCCAGGUGACUGGACUGGCAGGGUAAACCCCACCGGGAGCAAGGCCAAAUAUGGGAGCAGGACUCGUCCGGUCCGCGAUCGACUCCCGGGUAGGCCGCGUCGACGUCGUCGGCAACGGCGACGCCAGAGAAAUGACCGUCCACGACAGAACCCGGCUUAUCGGCCGGCUUCCCUU